CCUACGGGAGGCAGCAGUGGGGAAUAUUGCACAAUGGGGGAAACCCUGAUGCAGCGACGCCGCGUGAGUGAAGAAGUAAUUCGUUACGUAAAGCUCUAUCAGCAGGGAAGAAAUACUGACCUUACGGUCAGCAUACGGUACCUGAGUAAAAAGCCCCGCCUAACUAUGUGCCAGCAGCCGCGGUAAUACGGAGGGGGCAAGCGUUAUCCGGAUUUAAUGGGUGUAAAGGGAGCGUAGACGGUGCGCCAAGUCUGGAGUGAAAUGCCGCGGCUCAACUGCGGAACUGUUUUGGAGACUGGCGAACUAGAGUGCAGGAGAGGUAGGCGGAAUUCCUGGUGUAGCGGUGAAAUGCGUAGAUAUUAGGAGGAACUCCGAUGGCGAAGGCAGCUUACUGGACCGUAACUGACGUUGAGGCUCGAAAGCGUGGGGAGCAAACAGGAUUAGAUACCCCUGUAGUC
rnacentral:rRNA from 1 species